AGCGAACGCUGGCGGCAGGCCUAAUACAUGCAAGUCGAGCGCACCUUCGGGUGAGCGGCGGACGGGUGAGUAACGCGUGGGAAUAUGCCCUUUGGUACGGAACAACUGAGGGAAACUUCAGCUAAUACCGUAUGUGCCCUUCGGGGGAAAGGAUUUAUCGCCAUUGGAGUAGCCCGCGUUGGAUUAGCUAGUUGGUAGGGUAAAGGCCUACCAAGGCUACGAUCCAUAGCUGGUCUGAGAGGAUGAUCAGCCACAUUGGGACUGAGACACGGCCCGAAACUCCUACGGGAGGGCAGCAGUAGGGAAUCUUGCGCAAUGGGCGAAAGCCUGACGCAGCCAUGCCGCGU
rnacentral:rRNA from 1 species